rnacentral:rRNA from 1 species
CCUACGGGAGGCAGCAGUGAUGAAUAUUGGUCAAUGGGCGGGAGCCUGAACCAGCUAAGUCGCGUGAGGGAAGACGGUCCUAUGGAUUGUAAACCUCUUUAGGCGGGGAGCAAUGCCGGGCACGCGUGCCCGGCGGGAGAGUACCCGCAGAAUAAGCAUCGGCUAACUCCGUGCCAGCAGCCGCGGUAGUACGGAGGAUGCGAGCGUUCUCCGGAUUUAUUGGGUUUAAGGGGUGCGUAGGCGGAUUUUUAAGUCAGCGGUAAAAUGUCCGGGCUAAACCCGGGCCGGCCGUUGAAACUGGGGAGCUUGAGUGGGCGAGAAGUAUGCGGAAUGCGUGGUGUAGCAGUGAAAUGCAUAGAUA